CAACGCUUGCGCCGCUUACCGUUUAUGUGUUUAUGGAUAUCACGAAUAUCACGAUAUUAGUUUAUUAUUAUUUGUGUGUGAUCUGCUGCUGUACGUGGCCACAGGGGACUCAAGUUUAUUAUAAGAGAAAUAAUGGAAGAAACGAGCGUGUUACUUCAUUCGUGGGGCAUGCCACCCGAAGUGGUGAAAAUUUUUCUUGAUAAAAGGAUUCCGGUACAAAUAAGCUUAUUGGCGUACUUAAUCCCUCUAAAAGGCAGACUUUCCAGAACUGUCAAAUACUCAUCAAGGCAUCAUCGUACAAACAGACACCGCCGGAGAUAUCGACAAGAAGAUACAAGAACAGAAAUCUAAGAACUUGGCGCGGAAUCUGUCAGUGCAGCCAUACAUCUUACUACAAGGCAGCUUACAUAAUUUCACCUGUUUGUAAAUGGUCAUUGAUGAUAUAAAGUAUGUAUUCGAUUGCGCAAGCAAAGCAUUUGAUCUACUAUUUAAAAUGUAUCAUGUAUUUUAUGUGCGAUACCCAAAUGCAAGGGCAUGCGAUAAAAUCGUUACGCUUACGACGCGUCACUGCGAUUCCGUACCCUCACCGUUUUUUAAGCAGCGGUGUGGUCGAACCUUUAGGUGAUUACUGAUUAAGUAUUUAAAUUAAGUAUUUGAGCCCUGAGAGACGUUUAUGGUUACUUUGUAAGUUUAAUUUUAUGUUGUGAAUUUUUAAACUGCAAUAAGUACAAACUUAAUGAGGCAAAAUAAAUGUUUAUUCAUGAGACUUUUAAUAAAUAAAUACAUUGUACAUUUCAUUGUAUAAAUACAUAGUUGUAUUAGAUGAUUAAGUAUAUGACCUAAUAUGGCAGGUGCCUAACACCUAUACAUAGUUAAGUAUACGUACAGUAAAUUACUUUAAAUUAAAUAUGACACUUUGUAGUUUUAAAAUUAGGGGUUUCUCCACAGAGCGAGCAACCUCGCGAGGAAAUUGCCGCGCGAAGCAAACGACCCAUCCUCGCGCGGCAGUUUGCUCGCUAAAAUGGCGUCACUCUGUCAGCUGUUUAUGGUUAAGGUCGACUGGGACAAAUGCGUCAGUUGAGGUAAGUGAGUCUUUUUAGAAUUACAAGAAGAUGGAUAGGGUUCGACGAAAUUUUACCAAGGCGACAAUUAGGCCAUUUCAGGCACCGAUGAAAGACCGCUUUUAGUAUAAUUAAUUUCCUUUACACUUAAAUAACAUUUUCUUGUAAUUGUAAAAAGACGCAUUUACCUCAACUGGCGCAAUUAUUCCGGUUCAUCUGAAAUAGGUACUUACUUGAAUAUACUUACCCCCUUAUAAACGUCUCUCAUGCCUCAAUUAGUUAAUUUAUGUUUUGUCCUUAUCUCUCACUUCGACAGUUGUCUUUAUUAAAACGACACAAAGCAUAAAUUAAGUAAUUGAGACCUGAGAGACUUAUGAAUGAGGGGGUUACUUUAGAAGUUUAAUUUUAUGUUGUGAAUUUUUAAAUUGCAAUAGGUACAACCUUGAUAGAGGCAAAAUAAUAUUAUGACUUUUAAUAAAUAAAUACAUGUUAAUUAUUUUGGAUAUUAUUUAUUAGGGUUACCCACUUUUCCUACAUAAAAUAAUAAAAAAGUAGGUAGAGGUUGUGUACGUUAACAUUAUAAUCUGGGUUUUUUGUUUGUCCUUGUGUGCCCUUGAGUC